CCGGUUCAAACCUUCAAGCCAGGCAACGUACUGGGGGUUAAUCUCCAUUACGACAGGGUUGUCGUAUACGUUGGCGGAGAUGAACUUGAAAGUCAGGGGAGGAGACUUCAGGUUGUACUUUUCAAUCAGCUCUUCCGCUGUGUCAGCGAACUCCAUGUCUCCGUUUUGGAUAGUGAAGAACCGAGUGAUUCCGUCCCUCUCGGGGAGCGGGAUACCUGUCUCAGGGUCCAGGUACCAAGUCAGCCACUUACGCAGCGGACUGUUAUAAUCAGGGUUGCAGGUGAUCUUCAUGUGAGGUUCAACCUCGGGACACUUCGGACCACGCAUACGAGACAUCAAGUAAAGCAACAUGUCCAGGGUGUAUUGCUGUCCUUCGUCAACGAGGAAUUCGUUGAUUUCCAGACCCUGGUAGUUGUCCUUAUCGUCGAUGUGGGCAAAGUGUCGAAGGUGAAUCUCAGCCCCCGAGGAGAAGACGAAUUUCCCGUCCUUGUCCUUCCAUUUGACCUUCUUGUCAAACUGCUUGUACAACUGAAGGCAGUUAUCCAAGAUGCCGCCAGGACCUUUGAUCUGAGGAGUAGUCCGUCGAGUAAUCAGGCCCCGGAACAUCGGGUGCUUCACAUGCUUUAGAAAGUCCAUCACUCCGAGGUAGGAUUUACCAGCCCCGGCAGCUCCACCGAACACGGUGAUGUUCGCAGUGGAGUUGAUAAACGCUUCCUGCUUCGGAGACUUAGGACCGAUGACUGUCUUAGUCAU
rnacentral:antisense_RNA from 1 species